UGUAACUUCCCAAAUCAAUUGGGAAAUCGAUUUUAUAAAUAGUUGAGCCCCUGUAACUUCCCAAAUCGAUUGGGAAAUCGAUUUCCCUGCUUAUCCUUCCAAAAAUACAUAAACUAAUUCAAUCACAUUCAUACACAACUCCAAAUCUUAAUACUUAGCAAUUCCCACACAAUCACCACGACAAAUUGGGUUUCGAAAUAGUUUUACAAUCCAUCACACUUACAC
rnacentral:lncRNA from 1 species